UCCUACGGGAGGCAGCAGUGAGGAAUAUUGGUCAAUGGGCGAGAGCCUGAACCAGCCAAGUCGCGUGAAGGAAGAAGGUUCUAUGGAUUGUAAACUUCUUUUAUAAGGGAAUAAAAAAGAGUACGUGUACUCUAUUGUAUGUACUUUAUGAAUAAGGAUCGGCUAACUCCGUGCCAGCAGCCGCGGUAAUACGGAGGAUCCAAGCGUUAUCCGGAUUUAUUGGGUUUAAAGGGUGCGUAGGCGGACCUUUAAGUCAGUGGUGAAAGUUUGCGGCUUAUCCGUAAAAUUGCCAUUGAAACUGAAGGUCUUGAGUGUAAAUAAGGUAGGCGGAAUGUGUUGUGUAGCGGUGAAAUGCUUAGAUAUAACACAGAACACCAAUUGCGAAGGCAGCUUACUGGGAUACAACUGACGCUGAGGCACGAAAGCGUGGGGAUCAAACAGGAUUAGAUACCCUGGUAGUCCACGCAGUAAACGAUGAAUACUAGCUGUAUGCGAUAUACUGUAUGUGGCAAAGCGAAAGCGUUAAGUAUUCCACCUGGGGAGUACGUUCGCAAGAAUGAAACUCAAAGGAAUUGACGGGGGCCCGCACAAGCGGAGGAACAUGUGGUUUAAUUCGAUGAUACGCGAGGAACCUUACCCGGGCUUGAAAUGCAGACGACCGACGAGGAAACUUGUCUUCCAGCAAUGGCGUCUGUGUAGGUGCUGCAUGGUUGUCGUCAGCUCGUGCCGUGAGGUGUCGGCUUAAGUGCCAUAACGAGCGCAACCCCUAUUGAUAGUUACUAACAGGUUAAGCUGAGGACUCUAUUGAGACUGCCACCGUAAGGUGUGAGGAAGGUGGGGAUGACGUCAAAUCAGCACGGCCCUUACGUCCGGGGCGACACACGUGUUACAAUGGGGGGUACAGAGGGUUGCUACUUGGUGACAAGAUGCUAAUCUCUUAAAGCCUCCCUCAGUUCGGAUCGAAGUCUGCAACUCGACUUCGUGA
rnacentral:rRNA from 1 species